AUUGAACGCUGGCGGCAGGCCUAACACAUGCAAGUCGAACGAGUGGCGGACGGGUGAGUAAUGUCUGGGAAACUGCCUGAUGGAGGGGGAUAACUACUGGAAACGGUAGCUAAUACCGCAUACCAUCGGAUGUGCCCAGAUGGGAUUAGCUAGUAGGUGGGGUAAAGGCUCACCUAGGCGACGAUCCCUAGCUGGUCUGAGAGGAUGACAAUCCACACUGGAACGUAGCCACGGUCAAGACUCCUGCGGGCGGCAGCAGUGUGGAAUAUUUCACAAGGGGCGCAAGCCGGAUGCAGCCAUUCCUCGUGUAUGAAGAAGGCCUUCGGGUUGUAAAGUACUUUCAGCGGGGAGUCUUUACCCGCAGAAGAAGCACCGGCUAACUCCGUGCCAGCAGCCGCGGUAAUAC
rnacentral:rRNA from 1 species